CUGUCCUUGUGAUCCACCCACCUUGGCCUCCCAAAGUGAUGGGAUUACAGGUGUGAGCCACUGGGUCCUGCCUCUCAGGCAAUUUUCAUACCUGCAUACUCUGAUCACUAUUCUGUUAAACAGUCAAGGAGACUGAGUGCCACAUGCUGACAUCACUAAGAUCAAUACGGCAAACUCUGAAAGAUGGACAGAGAGACAGGAGAUGGUCCUUUAUAAUGCAGUGUGAUCUGUGCUGCAAUAGAGUUUUGGAGGCUAGAAGUUCAAAACGAGGUGUUGGCAGCACCAUGCUCUCUCUGAAGAUGCUAGGAAGAAUCUGUUCCGUGCCUUUCCAUUCGCUUCUGGGGUUUCCUGCAAGCCCUGACAUUCCUCGGCUUGUAGAUGCAUCACCCCAGUUUCUGCCCCCAUCAUCACAUGGCCCCCUCUCUGGGUGUACGUCUGCGUUCCCUCUCCUCUCCUUCUAAGGACACCGACACCAAUCAUAGUAGAUUAAGGGUCCACUCCUAACCAAUUACAUCUGCAACAACGCUAUUUCCAAAUAAAGUCACAUUCUAAGAUUCCUAGGGAGAACAUGAAUUUUUGGGGGUGUGUGGAUACUGUUCAACCUGGGACAUGGAGUAAAUUAAUGGCAAGGAAGAUUACAGAUUACUUUAAGCUAGAGAGGGAGAUAGGGUUAAAUGUAGGACAUUUUUUUUUUUCCAGGAUAGGAGAGGUUUAAACAUGUUACUACAUUGAAUAAAUGAAAUAGCC
rnacentral:lncRNA from 1 species